AGACGCUUCCUCCACACACUCGCACGUACCCUCCCAACACACACACACACACGCGUGCGCACCUUCUCUCGCUCUCAAGCUUCCCGCCCGUGUGUGCGUCCGCUCGUGUUUUCAUCUGGGUGCUCCCACGGCAGGAACAGCGAACGACCAUCUCGGCAAAGGUGUUACCGCGGCGACAGUCCCCUACAGUCCCCCACAAUAACAAAACAACCCAGCCGUAUGUCCAUGGAUAUCGAAAGCGAAGGCAGGCCGUUCCC
ensembl:lncRNA